AGCCUUUGUGGCGCGCUCGGGCCCGCCGCCAAGCCCGCCCUCCGCACCCCCCCGCCCGGGCUCUCGGGACUCGCCCGCGCCGGGGCCAGCCUAGGCGGGCUGGCGCGAACGCCUUCCGCCGCCCUGCGUUUCUGCGGUGCUUUAGCGGCGGCGGCGGCGGAGGAGGAGGAGGCAGCGUCACAUGACAACGAGCUGGCUUCUUCCGAGGGUCCUGGGGGUCGCUCAGCCCGACUGCUGUCCCAGGCCUCGGGUUGCUGGGGUGGGGUAGGGGGCUGAGGACCCGGGCCGACGGGGCGUCGCAGCCUGGCUUUCCCGCUAUCCGUCCGUCUGAGCUCCGGACGGGGGUUGGGGGGAGCCUCCUGGUGAAACGUGUCCAGGCCGGAGCACUGCCCCGCUAGUUUCCCAAUCCCCCGGGAGAUGAGGCCAAUAAAAGUUGUUUUUCCUCUUCUCUGAAUGUGGGGGGCGGGAUGAAGGGCUGGGAAACCCGAGUGCUUGGAGUUGGACCUGAGCCCCACUUGGAGGGGUCCGAACCGAGUGCUGUUUGUGUGUGCAUGGGGACCAUAACGUUUUCUGCUUUUCGGAUUGUCACGUCACCCGCUUCUGCCUACAUUAGGAUUGUUAGUGAUUCUUUCCACAUUGCAGACAGUCGUGUCCUGGGAGUGUUAAGCUGUGGGGAUGGUUUUGGAGCCCUAUAGACCCUAAGUAGUUCAGUUCGUGGUAUCGAGUUAUUUGCUGUUGAAGUUGGUGUCAAGAUGAGGGAAAUUGCAAAUUCUGAUGUCGAAGCUCUCUUAUGGAAAUGUACAGGACAGUGGGAAUAAAAACGUUUUGUGUAUGAUCUUAGAA